UGAGAUCAAUGUAUAUCAAGAGCAGAUCAGCCAUCAAAACAAUGCGAACAUUCUAAACUAGGCAGACCAGCCAGUUCACAGUCCAGAUAACAGGUCUAAACCAGCUCAACCAGCCGGUUUAGAUAGUUUUACUUGUUCAACGAUCGCACUGGACUUGGUUCUAGGCCAUUUUCAGGUCCAACAGCGGUCCAGCCUGGUUUGAUGGCAUUGACCGAGACGGC
rnacentral:lncRNA from 1 species